rnacentral:rRNA from 1 species
GACGUAGGGUGCGAGCGUUGUCCGGAUUUAUUGGGCGUAAAGAGCUCGUAGGCGGCUCGUCGCGUCGACCGUGAAAACCCGCGGCUUAACUGCGGGCUUGCGGUUGAUACGGGCGGGCUAGAGUUCGGUAGGGGAGACUGGAAUUCCUGGUGUAGCGGUGAAAUGCGCAGAUAUCAGGAAGAACACCAGUGGCGAAGGCGCCGCUCUGGGCCGUGACUGACGCUGAGGAGCGAAAGCGUGGGUAGCAAACAGG